GCAGAUUGAGCCUUCUGUGUAAUUUUAAAAAUGCACAAAAGGUGCAUUUAUUGAGUAAACCUUCUAUUGAUUUAAAAAUUACAUCGAAGAUGUAAUUAGUCAACGCGCCUUCUUCUUAAAAUAUAGUUAACGAUCCAUCAGGUUUGGAGCAUUAAAAUUACAAGAAGAAGGCUCGCUUACCUUGCGCGCCUUCAUCAUUAAUGUUAAAAAAAAAAUGACAACCCUAUAUGUUGGAGUAGUGCUCCAUUCUCUGCCAUUUAAGUCAAGCCUUCCCUUAUCUCUGCUCUCACCUCUUGCAUUGUUUUGCAUAAUAGCUUUAUCCAUCUGUCAGAUAGCUUGUUUAGUUGAUUGUAGCAGAGAAAAUCCUGAAUGUGAAACAACAGAACUAGCCACCACUUCACAAAAUCUAUUCUCAUAUAAAAACAGGUAACUCCUUUACCAAUUUUAUUAGCAACAUUAUCAUCACUUUGAAGAGGACUUUUUUUUUAGUAAUUUGAUACUCACUUUGGAUGUCCCUACUCUGCAUGUUUAUAACACUAGAAUUGGUUAUGCUCACAUUUGCAUUACGCUCAUUUCGAUGGCUUCUACUAAACCUAUUUGUAUUUGUUUUCUCCAAAUUGCUUAAUACAAGCUCAUUCUCAAUUUUCAGCUUCUCAAGAAGGAUAAUUUACCUUAAAGAAACUUUUGUGCAAGCUGAAGCCACUCUGAAGAAAACCAUUGGAAGAUUAUAAAUUAUCGAACCUUGCAUUCCCAAAAGAAUGAGAGCCAAUCUUGAUUCUGUUCCAUGCUCCUAGUGACAUCAACUGGAUUUCUUUUCGAGCACAUGGAGCCGAUACAAUUUUAACUAUUUGGUAAUGGAGCUGAAAAUAAAUUACAAUUUGUCAAUCUGAUAAUUAUCUAAUUAUCAUAGUUCAAACAUGAAGAAGGAGUACACACUGUGUAUAUAUAAAAUGUGAAAAGCAGUAAAUUUUCUUCAUUUUUUUCAACAAAGCUGCACCUUAUUCAACUUCAGAACCAAGAGAGAUUCACUUAUAUCUAUUAAUAUAUCUU
rnacentral:lncRNA from 1 species